rnacentral:rRNA from 1 species
GCAACGCCGCGUGAGGGACGAAGGCCUCUGGGCUGUAAACCUCUUUUCUCAAGGAAGAAGAUAUGACGGUACUUGAGGAAUAAGCCACGGCUAAUUCCGUGCCAGCAGCCGCGGUAAUACGGGAGUGGCAAGCGUUAUCCGGAAUUAUUGGGCGUAAAGCGUCCGCAGGCGGCUUUUCAAGUCUGCUGUUAAAGCGUGGAGCUUAACUCCAUCAUGGCAGUGGAAACUGAAAGGCUUGAGUAUGGUAGGGGCAGAGGGAAUUCCCGGUGUAGCGGUGAAAUGCGUAGAUAUCGGGAAGAACACCAGUGGCGAAGGCGCUCUGCUGGGCCAUUACUGACGCUCAUGGACGAAAGCCAGGGGAGCGAAAGGGAUUAGAUACCCCUGUAGUCCUGGCCGUAAACGAUGAACACUAGGUGUCGGGGGAAUCGACCCCUUCGGUGUCGUAGCUAACGCGUUAAGUGUUCCGCCUGGGGAGUACGCACGCAAGUGUGAAACUCAAAGGAAUUGACGGGGGCCCGCACAAGCGGUGGAGUAUGUGGUUUAAUUCGAUGCAACGCGAAGAACCUUACCAGGGUUUGACAUCCUGCGAACCUCUUAGAAAUUUGAGGGUGCCUUCGGGAAUGCAGUGACAGGUGGUGCAUGGCUGUCGUCAGCUCGUGUCGUGAGAUGUUGGGUUAAGUCCCGCAACGAGCGCAACCCACGUUUUUAGUUGCCAGCAUUUAGUUGGGCACUCUAGAAAGACCGCCGGUGAUAAACCGGAGGAAGGUGUGGAUGACGUCAAGUCAUCAUGCCCCUUACACCCUGGGCUACACACGUACUACAAUGCUACGGACAAAGGGCAGCAAACUCGCGAGAGCUAGCAAAUCCCAUAAACCGUGGCUCAGUUCAGAUCGUAGGCUGCAACUCGCCUACGUGAAGUAGGAAUCGCUAGUAAUCGCAGGUCAGCAUACUGCGGUGAAUACGUUCCCGGGCCUUGUACACACCGCCCGUCACACCUAUGGUAUAGUUGGCCUAUGCCCGUAAGUCGUUACUCCA